rnacentral:rRNA from 1 species
UGGGAACCUUCCCUAUGGUUCGGAAUAGCUCAGGGGAAACUUAGGGGUAAUACCGGAUAAGCCCUUCGGGGGAAAGAUUUAUCGCCAUUGGAUGGGCCCGCGUCGGAUUAGCUAGUUGGUGAGGUAACGGCUCACCAAGGCAACGAUCCGUAGCUGGUCUGAGAGGAUGAUCAGCCACACUGGGACUGAGACACGGCCCAGACUCCUACGGGAGGCAG